rnacentral:rRNA from 1 species
CCUGACGCAGCGACGCCGCGUGGAGGAUGACGCAUUUCGGUGUGUAAACUCCUUUUAUCAAGGAAGAAAAUGACGGUACUUGAUGAAUAAGCACCGGCUAACUCCGUGCCAGCAGCCGCGGUAAUACGGAGGGUGCAAGCGUUAUUCGGAAUCACUGGGCGUAAAGGACGCGUAGGCGGGAUGCCAAGUCUGAUGUGAAAUCCUAUGGCUUAACCAUAGAACUGCAUUGGAAACUGGUGACCUAGAGUAUGGGAGGGGGAGAUGGAAUUAGUGGUGUAGGGGUAAAAUCCGUAGAUAUCACUAGGAAUAUCCAAAGCGAAGGCGAUCUCCUGGAACAAUACUGACGCUAAGGCGUGAAAGCGUGGGGAGCAAACGGGAUUAGAUACCCCGGUAGUCCACGCCCUAAACGAUGUUCACUAGUCGUCGGAAUGCUAGUCAUUUCGGUGAUGCACUUAACAGAUUAAGUGAACCGCCUGGGGAGUACGGUCGCAAGAUUAAAACUCAAAUGAAUUGACGG